rnacentral:rRNA from 1 species
GUUAAAAAGCUCGUAGUUGGAUUUCUGCGGGGGCGGGGCGGCCGGAUGCUUAUAGCAUCUCGAGCUAGCACUUCCCCCGCAUCCUGCCGCGAACCGUGCUACCAUUAGUUUGGUGGCGCUGGGGAUCGGCUCGUUUACUUUGAGAAAAAUAGAGUGUUCAAAGCAGGCCACACGCCUUGAAUAAGUUAGCAUGGAAUAAUGAUAAAGGACUUCGGUUCUAUUUUGUUGGUGUUCGGGACUGAAGUAAUGAUUGAUAGGGACAGUUGGGGCGGUCAGUAUUCCAAAGCGGGAGGUGAAAUUCUUAGACCUUCGGAAGACUAACAGCUGCGAAAGCGUUCCGCAAGGAUGUUCCCUUUGAUCAAGAACGAAAGUUGGGGGAUCGAAGACGAUCAGAUACCGUCGUAGUCUCAACUAUAAACUAUACCAGCUAGGGAUCGGCCGACGUUUACUUAUAUCGACUCGGUCGGCACCUUAUGAGAAAUCAAAAGCA